rnacentral:rRNA from 1 species
GUGGGGAAUCUUGCGCAAUGGGCGAAAGCCUGACGCAGCCAUGCCGCGUGAAUGAUGAAGGUCUUAGGAUUGUAAAAUUCUUUCACCGGGGACGAUAAUGACGGUACCCGGAGAAGAAGCCCCGGCUAACUUCGUGCCAGCAGCCGCGGUAAUACGAAGGGGGCUAGCGUUGCUCGGAAUUACUGGGCGUAAAGGGCGCGUAGGCGGACAGUUUAGUCAGAGGUGAAGGCCCAGGGCUCAACCUUGGAAUUGCCUUUGAUACUGGCUGUCUUGAGUUUGGGAGAGGUGAGUGGAACUCCGAGUGUAGAGGUGAAAUUCGUAGAUAUUCGGAAGAACACCAGUGGCGAAGGCGACUCACUGGCCCAAUACUGACGCUGAGGCGCGAAAGCGUGGGGAGCAAACAGGAUUAGAUACCCCGGUAGUCC